rnacentral:lncRNA from 1 species
AUUUACUUUUGCUUUAAUCUCCUUGUCUUUCUUUUCCCUUUGUUUCUUUACGACUUUUUUGUUGUUCUAGACUUGCCUUGUGGAGUUCUCUCAGCACGGUUUUAGCAGUCCUAAAAUCAUAAAACUUGUGGGAAAGGCAAACAAGGAGCAAAGAUUCACCAUUUCUCAUCAUAGAAGAGCUAUGGCUGAAGCAGUCAAGGAGGACUGGGGUUUUCUGCAUUACGCAUAACUAAGUGCAAAUCACUGUCAUGUGGUAAAUCCAGAUUGGUGACACACGUGGAAACCCAUAUUUGAUGCUGAAUGCUACCUCGACUGGAUUGCAAAGGUGGAGAGUUAUGGCUGAUUUUACAAAUCAAGGUCAUGAGCCACCCAUGGAGUGGGCUGACUGGUUAUGGUCAUUCUCCUGUCCUGGUUGGAGUGUUUGAGAAGGAGUCAGUGAAGAAGUGAGUCUGGUCAGAAAGGUUAUGACCUGACCUGGCCACCUUCGUGUUGUGAGGAUUCAGCAGUCCAGUGAUGCAGUGCAUGCUCCCCAGCCCUGAAAAGCAUUACAUAUCCUGUGGAUGACUCACACCAACCAUCUGACAUGUGAGCUGGCUCUCCCAA